AGGGAAUCUUCCACAAUGGGCGAAAGCCUGAUGGAGCAACGCCGCGUGGGUGAAGAAGGUCUUCGGAUCGUAAAACCCUGUUGUCAGAGAAGAAAGUGCAUGAGAGUAACUGUUCAUGUNUCGACGGUAUCUGACCAUAAAGCAGCGGAUACAUACGGGCCAGCAUCCGCGGUAAUACGUAGGUGGCAAGCGUUAUCCGGAUUUAUUGGGCGUAAAGGGAACGCAGGCGGUCUUUUAAGUCUGAUGUGAAAGCCUUCGGCUUAACCGGAGUAGUGCAUUGGAAACUGGGAGACUUGAGUGCAGAAGAGGAGAGUGGAACUCCAUGUGUAGCGGUGAAAUGCGUAGAUAUAUGGAAGAACACCAGUGGCGAAAGCGGCUCUCUGGUCUGUAACUGACGCUGAGGUUCGAAAGCGUGGGUAGCAAACAGG
rnacentral:rRNA from 1 species